rnacentral:lncRNA from 1 species
GUAUGAGCACCUGUCAAGGCAGCGAGUUUACAAUUAAACGAAGCGUAGCAUGAGUAGAUAUACUGCUGGGUUCUACUCACUAUGGAUAUGUUAUUACCCCAUAGGAUGGGAUUUUACGAAUAGAAGAGGAAAUAACAGCGGUCAGCCGUAGGUAAGAUUGUUGAGCAGACAACCUUUCUAUUCAUUUACCUAUUUUAUCGACUUGUUUCGUAUGAAAAAAAGGGAUUGAGAUGUUCAUCCCAGCUUCUCAUCUCAU